CUCAACAUAAUCACCGGGAAUGGAGAAAAUCCAGGAGCUUUCACUGGAACUGAGCAAGAGCUUGACAGCUGGCAAAUGUUCAUUAAGAUGCUUUACAACCAAGAUUGAUCCUACUGGAAAUGUGACUUCAAUGCACCACGUAAGCUGCAUUUUCUUAGCAGGUGACAUUGUUGAUGGGCCAGCAGCUGUUUGGAAGCUGCCAGACCUUUGCUGCUUGAUGAGCGUUUCUUUUUGAGCUUGGGAAAUGUCCCCAGUGGGAGCUGUGACCUGCCACUGCUGUUACCCAUGGGAAUGCAACACCUGCAGACACCAGCCGUUUCCUUCCCACUCCUUCAUCUUGGAAAACCAGCUGCAGGUUGCUUAUCAUCGGUCCAAGCC